GACGAACGCUGGCGGCGUGCUUAACACAUGCAAGUCGAACGGUGAACCUGCUUCGGUGGGGGAUCAGUGGCGAACGGGUGAGUAACACGUGGGCAACCUGCCCCCGGCUCUGGGAUAAUUCCAAGAAAUUGGGGCGUAAUACCGGAUAUGACCGCUGACCGCAUGGUCUGGUGGUGGAAAGAUUUAUCGGCUGGGGAUGGCCCGCGGCCUAUCAGCUUGUUGGUGGGGUAGUGGCCUACCAAGGCGACGACGGGUAGCUGGUCUGAGAGGAUGGUCAGCCGGAUUGGGACUGAGAUACGGGCCCAGACUCCUACGGGGGGCANCAAUUUAGGGAAUCUUGCGCAAUGGGCGAAAGCCUGACGCAGCGACGUCGCGUGGGGAGGAAGC
rnacentral:rRNA from 1 species